rnacentral:rRNA from 1 species
GUGCACCAGUCGCGAAAACUCCGCAAUGCUCGAAAGAGUGACGGGGGAUUCCAAGUGCCUACGCUUAGCGUAGGCUGUUCAGAUGCCUAAAAAGCAUCUGGAGUAAGGGCUGGGUAAGACGGGUGCCAUCUGCAGUGGUAAUGAAAAACCUGCUACUGCAAGGCAUAAGCCGCCGCGGUAAUACCCGCAGCCCGAGUGGUAGUCGCUUUUAUUGGGCCUAAAGCGUCCGUAGCCGGUCUGGUAAAUGCCUGGGGUAAAUCGUGGGGCCUAACCUCACGAACUCCGGGUAGACUGCCAGACUUGGGACCGGUUGAGGGAGAGGGUACUCCAGGGGUAGGGGUGAAAUCCUGUAAUCCUUGGAGGACCACCGGUGGCGAAAGCGCUCUCCUAGGACGGGUCCGACGGUGAGGGACGAAAGCCAGGGGAGCAAACCGGAUUAGAUACCCGUGUAGU